UUAAUUGAAAGCUCGUAUGAACGAUCCGACGAAAAAUUACCUGUCUUAAGCCCGCUAAAAACUUUUUACGAGAGUCAAAAACCUCUCACUCUUCAAUAGGACGACAAGACCCUGCAAAACUUUACCCGUUAUAGUUCAAACUCAGAGAUCUUUACCCCUUACUCGGGUUUUACUGGGGCGGUAAUAGUUUCUCCAAACAAUUAACACUC
rnacentral:rRNA from 1 species